GACGAACGCUGGCGGCGUGCUUAACACAUGCAAGUCGAACGGAAAGACCCUGCUUUUGUGGGGUGCUCGAGUGGCGAACGGGUGAGUAACACGUGAGUAACCUGCCCUUGACUUUGGGAUAACUUCAGGAAACUGGGGCUAAUACCGGAUAGGAGCUCCUGCUGCAUGGUGGGGGUUGGAAAGUUUCGGCGGUUGGGGAUGGACUCGCGGCUUAUCAGCUUGUUGGUGGGGUAGUGGCUUACCAAGGCUUUGACGGGUAGCCGGCCUGAGAGGGUGACCGGCCACAUUGGGACUGAGAUACGGCCCAGACUCCUACGGGAGGCAGCAGUGGGGAAUAUUGCACAAUGGGCGGAAGCCUGAUGCAGCAACGCCGCGUGCGGGAUGACGGCCUUCGGGUUGUAAACCGCUUUCGCCUGUGACGAAGCGUAAGUGACGGUAAUGGGUAAAGAAGCACCGGCUAACUACGUG
rnacentral:rRNA from 1 species